rnacentral:tRNA from 1 species
CAAAUUAGAGCUUGUUAAAGUAUUUCAUUUACAUUGAAAAGAUAAUUAAUAAUUAUUAAUUAAUUUGA